AGCGAACGCUGGCGGCAGGCUUAACACAUGCAAGUCGAACGCCCCGCAAGGGGAGUGGCAGACGGGUGGGUAACACGUGGGAACGUACCCUUUGGUUCGGAAUAACUUGGGGAAACUCAAGCUAAUACCGGAUAAGCCCUUAUGGGGAAAGGUUUACUGCCGAAGGAUCGGCCCGCGUCUGAUUAGCUAGUUGGUGAGGUAAUGGCUCACCAAGGCGACGAUCAGUAGCUGGUCUGAGAGGAUGAUCAGCCACACUGGGACUGAGACACGGCCCAGACUCCUACGGGAGGCAGCAGUGGGGAAUAUUGGACAAUGGGGGCAACCCUGAUCCAGCCAUGCCGCGUGAGUGAUGAAGGCCUUAGGGUUGUAAAGCUCUUUUACCCGGGACGAUAAUGACUGUACCGGGAGAAUAAGCCCCGGCCAACUUCGUGCCAGCCGCCGCCGUAA
rnacentral:rRNA from 1 species